rnacentral:misc_RNA from 1 species
UCCGGUUUGAAACCGGCAGUCGCGUUAGACAUGGUAACUAACGCCGAGGGUUGCGCCACUUAAGGCAACACCUCACGGCACGAGCUGACGACAGCCAUGCACCACCUGUGCAGGCUCCGAAGAGCGCCCGCUUUCACGGGUUUCACCCUGCAUGUCAAGCCCAGGUAAGGUUCUUCGCGUCGCAUCGAAUUAAGCCGCAUGCUCCGCCGCUUGUGCGGGGCCCCGUCAAUUCCUUUGAGUUUUAGCCUUGCGGCCGUACUCCCCAGGCGGGGUGCUUAAUGCGUUAGCUUCGGCACGGACGGGGUCGAUGUCCGCCCACACCUAGCACCCAACGUUUACGGCUAGGACUAC